GAUGAACGCUAGCGGCAGGCUUAACACAUGCAAGUCGAGGGGUAGAGGUUGCUUGCAACCUUGAGACCGGCGCACGGGUGCGUAACGCGUAUGCAACCUACCUUUUACAGAGGGAUAGCCCAGAGAAAUUUGGAUUAAUACCUCAUAGUAUAUAUCUUUCGCAUGUUAGGUAUAUUAAAGUUCCAACGGUAAAAGAUGGGCAUGCGCCCUAUUAGCUAGAUGGUAAGGUAACGGCUUACCAUGGCUACGAUAGGUAGGGGUCCUGAGAGGGAGAUCCCCCACACUGGUACUGAGACACGGACCAGACUCCUACGGGAGGCAGCAGUGAGGAAUAUUGGACAAUGGGCGCAAGCCUGAUCCAGCCAUGCCGCGUGCAGGAAGAAGCAUCUAUGGCGUGUAAACUGCUUUUGUACAGGAAGAAACAUCCCGACGUGUCGGGACUUGACGGUACUGUAAGAAUAAGGAUCGGCUAACUCCGUGCCAGCCGCCGCGGUAA
rnacentral:rRNA from 1 species